ACGCUCGACACCUACGGGAGCAGCAGUCGGGAAUAUUGCGCAAUGGAGGAAACUCUGACGCAGUGACGCCGCGUGCAGGAAGAAGGUUUUCGGAUUGUAAACUGCUUUAGACAGGGAAGAAAGAAAUGACAGUACCUGUAGAAUAAGCUCCGGCUAACUACGUGCCAGUAGCCGCGGUAAUACUGAGCGGGCGUGGCGAAGGC
rnacentral:rRNA from 1 species